UACGUAGGGUGCGAGCGUUAAUCGGAAUUACUGGGCGUAAAGGGUGCGCAGGCGGCGUCGCAAGUCAGGCGUGAAAUCCCCGGGCUUAACCUGGGAACUGCACUUGAAAUUACGAUGCUGGAGUAUGGCAGAGGGAGGUGGAAUUCCACGUGUAGCGGUGAAAUGCGUAGAGAUGUGGAGGAACACCGAUGGCGAAGGCAGCCUCCUGGGCCAAUACUGACGCUCAUGCACGAAAGCGUGGGGAGCAAACAGG
rnacentral:rRNA from 1 species